CCCUUAGAUGUUCUGGGCCGCACGCGCGCUACAAUGGUCUUCGCAAACGGAUGCAUUCUCGAAGGAGAAUGCCAAUCUUGGAAUCUAUGCCUUGGUCGGGACAGUUGCUUGCAAUUUUUCGACUCGAACCAGGAAUUCCUUGUAAUCGUGAUUCAUCACAUCACGAUGAAUACGUCCCUGCCCUUUGUACACACCGCCCGUCGCUCCUACCGAUUGAAUGUUCCGAUGAAUACCAUGGACUGAGAGUAUGAAUGGGUUCGCCUAUUUCUGCUUCUCGGGAAGUGGAGUAAAUCUUAACAUUUAGAGGAAGGAGAAGUCGUAACA
rnacentral:rRNA from 1 species